GGGGCUGUAGCUCAGGUGGUAGAGCGCUCACGUGUUCGCACGGGAGAGGUCUGAGGUUCGACCCCUCACAGCUCCA
rnacentral:tRNA from 1 species